rnacentral:rRNA from 1 species
UACGAAGGGGGCGAGCGUUGUUCGGAUUUACUGGGCGUAAAGGGCGCGCAGGCGGCUAUCCAAGUCAGGCGUGAAAGCCCCGGGCUUAACCUGGGAGGUGCGUCUGGGACUGGGUGGCUAGAGUUCGGGAGAGGAGAGUGGAAUUCCCAGUGUAGAGGUGAAAUUCGUAGAUAUUGGGAGGAACACCGGUGGCGAAGGCGGCCACCUGGGCCGGAACUGACGCUGAGGCGCGAAAGCGUGGGGAGCAAACGGG